UCCUCCAGCAAAUCUGUCACACCAACAGGAUGGUGUGUUCAUGUUUCUGCUGCUUGCCACGAGGCUCUGUGCUUCUUUCGGAUAAAAAAUUUCUCUCUGCAUGCUGCAGGGCUCAGAGCAUGUGUGACAACAACCUCUGCCCUUGAUUGCCAGGAAACACGGGAGUGGCGUUACAUCCCCUGGUGGCAAAGACAACAUGGGCUGAGAAAUAUUUACCUGCUGCUGGGCAGAUCUUGGAAACGUGAUGGAUGAAAGAUGCUGACAAUGUGCUACGAGGAAGACAAAGCUGGAAGCCCACAGAUGGAGGGUGCAGAACGCAGCCAAAACCCAAAAAGUUUCUGUUUCACAAUGGGAGAGCUGAUUGUGCAAAGCAAUAAGGGGCAUCCAACCAAAAGUCUCCAUUGCAAAUUCUCCUGGUCUCUUAAGGGAUUUGAAGAUGAUUUAUGUCCAUGUUUACUAACAGCUGGGAGGAGAUUCAGCUUUAAUCUUGUUUAAGGAAAAGCAGCAGCCAAGGUAAGACAGUGACAUUUCCUGAACAAGCUUUUCUCCACAAAAAUGCAAUCGUCACACGGAGCUGAACUAAUUGAGGCUCUUGAGUGUUUUACAAGCAGCAAGAAUCCCGAAAUUAAAUGAGCAGAUGUGAAUGAAUACGUGUGGCAAC